rnacentral:rRNA from 1 species
UUCCGUAGGUGAACCUGCGGAAGGAUCAUUAACGAGUUCUGAAACGGGUUGUAGCUGGCCUUCCGGGGCAUGUGCACACCCUGCUCAUCCACUCUACACCUGUGCACUCACUGUAGGUUGGCGUGGGCUUCCUUCGCGGGAAGCAUUCUGCCGGCCUAUGUACACUACAAACACUAUAAAGUAACAGAAUGUAUUCGCGUCUAACGCAUCAUAAUACAACUUUCAGCAACAGAUCUCCUGGCUCUCGCAUCGAUGAAGAACGCAGCGAAAUGCGAUAAGUAAUGUGAAUUGCAGAAUUCAGUGAAUCAUCGAAUCUUUGAACGCACCUUGCGCUCCUUGGUAUUCCGAGGAGCAUGCCUGUUUGAGUGUCAUGGAAUUCUCAACCUAUAAAUCUUUGUGGUUUAUGGGCUUGGACUUGGAGGCUUGCCGGCCUCAAUGGUCGGCUCCUCUUGAAUGCAUUAGCUUGAUUCCGUGCGGAUCGGCUCUCAGUGUGAUAAUUGUCUACGCUGUGAACCGUGAAGUGUUUGGCGAGCUUCUAACCGUCCCUUUGGGACAAUUUAUUGACAUCUGACCUCAAAUCAGGUAGGACUACCCGCUGAACUUAAGCAUAUCAAUAAGCGGAGGA